CAAAAGACUCUCGGCAAUGGAUAUCUCGGCUCUUGCAUCGAUGAAGAACGUAGUGAAAUGCGAUACUUGGUGUGAAUUGCAGAAUCUCGUGAACCAUGAGUCUUGAACGCAAGUUGUGCCCGAGGCUUUGUGGCCAAGGCACGUCUGCUUGGGCGUCAUGGC
rnacentral:rRNA from 1 species